rnacentral:rRNA from 1 species
UACGUAGGUGGCGAGCGUUGUCCGGAUUUACUGGGCGUAAAGAGCGCGCAGGCGGUCGUUCAAGUCGCGUGUGAAAGCCCCCGGCUCAACUGGGGAGGGUCACGCGAUACUGAUCGACUCGAAGGCAGGAGAGGGUAGUGGAAUUCCCGGUGUAGUGGUGAAAUGCGUAGAUAUCGGGAAGAACACCUAUGGCGAAGGCAGCUCUCUGGGACGGUACUGACGCUGAGACGCGAAAGCGUGGGGAGCGAACAGG